rnacentral:lncRNA from 1 species
AUCCUGGCAUUCUAUUUCCUUGAAUAAGACAUACAGAAGUAAGUUAUGAAGUACUGUUAUACCACAGUAAUAAGGAAAAAGGGCAGUGUGGAAGUACAUUGCUUUAAUUAUUUUAGAAUAGCACUGGGAAUUGGGACCAGUGUGUGUUUGGAGAUGUGAGAAUGUGGGCAAUAUCUGCUGCCUGUGUCAAGGCUGACUGAUUUAGACUGGUCUGUCCCAUUUCUAUACAUGAAGAAACCAGCUGGCACAGGAAGACAUGGACAGCAUGUGGUGACAACAGCAUUCAGAGUCAGUACAUGGUGGUUGGGAAGCAUUGGGAGACAACUCUCACAGGCUGAGGGGAAACCUUCCACUGAGUCAGCAGAUCCUGGAUAGAGGCGGAGCACACAACGGACAAAGCAAGGCUAGGAGAGCAGGGUUUGCUCAGAGAAGGCUCAGGUAGGACCUUGUUGCUGUCUACA